rnacentral:rRNA from 1 species
UGCGGGGAAAAGAAACCAACAGGGAUUGCCUCAGUAACGGCGAGUGAAGCGGCAAAAGCUCAAAUUUGAAAUCUAGCACCUUCGGUGUUCGAGUUGUAAUUUGAAGAUGGUAACCUUGGGUUUGGCUCUUGUCUAUGUUCCUUGGAACAGGACGUCAUAGAGGGUGAGAAUCCCGUCUGAUGAGAUGCCCAUUCCUAUGUAAGGUGCUAUCGAAGAGUCGAGUUGUUUGGGAAUGCAGCUCUAAGUGGGUGGUAAAUUCCAUCUAAAGCUAAAUAUUGGCGAGAGACCGAUAGCGAACAAGUACAGUGAUGGAAAGAUGAAAAGAACUUUGAAAAGAGAGUGAAAAAGUACGUGAAAUUGUUGAAAGGGAAGGGCAUUAGAUCAGACUUGGUGUUUUACGAUUAUCUUCUCUUCUUGAGUUGUGCACUCGUAUUUCACUGGGCCAGCAUCGAUUCGGAUGGCAAGAUAAUGGCAGUUGAAUGUGGCUUCACUUCGGUGGAGUGUUAUAGCUUCUGCUGAUAUUGCCUGUCUGGAUCGAGGGCUGCGUCUUUUGACUAGGAUGCUGGCGUAAUGAUCUAAUGCCGCCCGUUUGAAA